UUCGCAAUGCCCGAAAGGGUGACGAAGCGACGCCGCGUGCGGGAAGAAGGCCUUCGGGUUGUAAACCGCUGUCGGGAGUUAAGAAAUGUAAGGAUGUUAAUAGCAUCUUUGCUUGACUAAGGCUCCGGAGGAAGCCACGGCUAACUCUGUGCCAGCAGCCGCGGUAAUACAGAGGCGGCAAGCGUUGUUCGGAAUUAUUGGGCGUAAAGAGCACGUAGGCGGCUAUGUAAGUCGGUUGUGAAAGCCUUCCACUCAACGGGAGAACAGCAUCCGAUACUGCAUGGCUUGAGUGCGGGAGGGGAGAGUGGAACUUCUGGUGGAGCGGUGAAAUGCGUAGAUAUCAGAAGGAACGCCGGCGGCGAAAGCGGCUCUCUGGCCCAUAACUGACGCUGAGUGUGCGAAAGCUAGGGGAGCAAACGGGAUUAGAUACCCCGGUAGUCCUAGCCGUAAACGAUGGGCACUAAGUAGAGGGGUUUU
rnacentral:rRNA from 1 species